AGAGUUUGAUCCGGCUCAGGAUGAACGCUAGCGACAGGCUUAACACAUGCAAGUCGAGGGGCAGCGGGGUAGUGCUUGCACUACUGCCGGCGACCGGCGCACGGGUGAGUAACACGUAUGGAACCUGCCCGCAGCAGGGGGAUAAGCGGAAGAAAUUCCGUCUAAUACCGCGUAAGAACGUUGGGAGGCAUCUCCCGAUGUUUAAAGAUUUAUCGGCUGCGGAUGGCCAUGCGGCGCAUUAGCUAGUCGGCGGGGUAACGGCCCACCGAGGCGACGAUGCGUAGGGGUUCUGAGAGGAAGGUCCCCCACACUGGUACUGAGACACGGACCAGACUCCUACGGGAGGCAGCAGUGAGGAAUAUUGGUCAAUGGCCGAGAGGCUGAACCAGCCAAGUCGCGUGAGGGAAGACGGCCCUACGGGUUGUAAACCUCUUUUGUCGGGGAGCAAAGCGAACCACGUGUGGUUCAUUGAGAGUACCCGAAGAAAAAGCAUCGGCUAACUCCGUGCCAGCAGCCGCGGUAAUACGGAGGAUGCGAGCGUUAUCCGGAUUUAUUGGGUUUAAAGGGUGCGCAGGCGGAGGUGCAAGUCAGCGGUCAAAUUGCGGGGCUCAACCCCGUACUGCCGUUGAAACUGCAUCCCUUGAGUGCGCGAGAAGUAUGCGGAAUGCGUGGUGUAGCGGUGAAAUGCAUAGAUAUCACGCAGAACUCCGAUUGCGAAGGCAGCAUACCGGCGCGCAACUGACGCUCAUGCACGAAAGCGUGGGUAUCGAACAGGAUUAGAUACCCUGGUAGUCCACGCAGUAAACGAUGAACACUAACUGUUCGGCCAGAAUGAUGGCUGAGUGGUACAGCGAAAGCGUUAAGUGUUCCACCUGGGGAGUACGCCGGCAACGGUGAAACUCAAAGGAAUUGACGGGGGCCCGCACAAGCGGAGGAACAUGUGGUUUAAUUCGAUGAUACGCGAGGAACCUUACCCGGGCUCAAACGACACAGGAAUACUUUGAAAGGAGGUAGCCCUACGGGGUCUGUGUCGAGGUGCUGCAUGGUUGUCGUCAGCUCGUGCCGUGAGGUGUCGGCUUAAGUGCCAUAACGAGCGCAACCCCUAUCGCCAGUUACCAUCAAGUAAAGUUGGGGACUCUGGCGAGACUGCCGGCGCAAGCUGAGAGGAAGGCGGGGAUGACGUCAAAUCAGCACGGCCCUUACGUCCGGGGCGACACACGUGUUACAAUGGCAGGUACAGAGAGAAGCCAGGUGGUGACACCGAGCGGAACUCGAAAGCCUGUCUCAGUUCGGAUUGGAGUCUGCAACCCGACUCCAUGAAGCUGGAUUCGCUAGUAAUCGCGCAUCAGCCACGGCGCGGUGAAUACGUUCCCGGGCCUUGCACACACCGCCCGUCAAG
rnacentral:rRNA from 1 species